CAGGAAGGGAAAAGAGGGUCAAAACCCUAGUUUCUUCAAAAUCUUCAAAUUGAAAGGCAAGAUGAAGCUUUAACUCAUAACCGAGCAUAGAUUAAUGAUCACCUUCACAAGGGGAUCGCAAGGAAUCAUGUCGAGACGGAAUCAAGCACGGAAGGCUAACGGGUCAAGAAGUGGCGAAGAAACAAAUAUGAAUACGGAUGCACGAGGAACGAGAAUAUCGGAUUCUUACGAAAUUUAAGCUCUACCUGAAAUAAGAGGAUGAGUGCCACACGGACUUCUUCUGCUACUUAGAAAGUGAAGCGGACGUAGAUCGAGUCAAGAGCAAGGAUUGCACGGAUAGAUCGG